UACGGGGGGAGCAAGCGUUGUUCGGAUUUACUGGGCGUAAAGGGUGCGUAGGUGGCGCCGUAAGUCAGGUGUGAAAUCUCGGGGCUUAACUCCGAAACUGCAUUUGAUACUGCGGUGCUUGAGGACUGGAGAGGAGACUGGAAUUUACGGUGUAGCAGUGAAAUGCGUAGAGAUCGUAAGGAAGACCAGUGGCGAAGGCGGGUCUCUGGACAGUUCCUGACACUGAGGCACGAAGGCCAGGGGAGCAAACGGG
rnacentral:rRNA from 1 species